UGCUUCUCUCAAUCGAAAUCUAAAAAACCCAAUCAAAAAAUUCUCUCCGAUUCUCGAAAUUCUCUGUUUCCUCGAAUUCAAACCGUAGUUCUUCGUUCGAACAUUCGAAGAUCUAUUGCAAUUUAAUAGUUGUUGUUGAUCAUUGAUUGCGUGAAAGGGCUUCGAGAAUGUUCAACGGAAUGAUGGAUCCUGAAUUGAUGAGACUCACCCAAGAGCAGAUGAGUCGCAUGUCGCUCGCUGAGAUGGCCAGGAUUCAACAACAGAAGUUGACAGAGCAGCUGGAUUGAUUGCAACUCCUGUGACCAAUCAAAAGAAAUAGCCAGCUAUAGGGACUAUAAUGCAUUCCCCAUCCAUAAUGAUCAACAUCAUGGAGUUUCUUAAGAAGCAAGGUUUCAAAGGACAAUUUAGAGGAGGAGGUAUCCCAUGAACUCGUACAUCGCCUUUUCGAUUGGAUUACUCUGCGCAUACGUUAUCAAAAAGUUAUACUUUGGCAGAUUGGUUUUUGAUAACGUUUGGAAGUAUACUUGCAAAUGAAGAUCAACUGUUGAAUUUUGUUUCCUGAACUGAUACUUAGUUGUAGUUGCAAAUCAAGAUUGAGUGUUGAUUUUUUUUUGUGGAUUCCACGUUAGUUCAUUUUAGGAUUUGCUUUGAUGGUUUUUUUGUUAUACUUAAUGGUUUAUAUUAUUAAAGUUGUUU